rnacentral:rRNA from 1 species
AAGAGUUUGAUCCUGGCUCAGGACGAACGCUGGCGGCGUGCCUAACACAUGCAAGUCGAGCGGAGAUAUUAGUAAUAAUAUCUUAGCGGCGGACGGGUGAGUAACGGGGUGAGUAACGCGUGGGCAACCUGCCUCACACUGGGGGAUAACACAGGGAAACUUGUGCUAAUACCGCAUAACAUCAUGAAAGGACAUCCUUUUAUGAUCAAAGGAGCAAUCCGGUGAGAGAUGGGCCCGCGUCCAAUUAGCUAGUUGGUGAUGUAACGGACCACCAAGGCGACGAUUGGUAGCCGAACUGAGAGGUUGAUCGGCCACAUUGGGACUGAGAUACGGCCCAGACUCCUACGGGAGGCAGCAGUGGGGAAUAUUGCGCAAUGGGGGAAACCCUGACGCAGCAACGCCGCGUGAAGGAUGAAGGUUUUCGGAUCGUAAACUUCUUUGAUGGGGGACGAAACAAAUGACGGUACCCCAAAAACAAGCCACGGCUAACUACGUGCCAGCAGCCGCGGUAAUACGUAGGUGGCGAGCGUUGGGAAUUAUUGGGCGUAAAGGGAGCGUAGGCGGUUUGAUAAGUCUGAGGUGAAAGUUCGGGGCUCAACUCCGGAUUGCCUUAGAAACUGUCAGACUAGAGUGCAGGAGAGGGCAAUGGAAUUCCAUGUGUAGCGGUAAAAUGCGUAGAUAUAUGGAGGAACACCAGUGGCGAAGGCGGUUGCCUGGCCUGUAACUGACGCUGAGGCUCGAAAGCGUGGGGAGCAAAUAGGAUUAGAUACCCUAGUAGUCCACGCCGUAAACGAUGAGUGCUAGGUGUCGGGGGUAUCGACCCGUUGGAGCAAUUCAGUGCCGCAGCUAACGCAAUAAGCACUCCGCCUGGGGAGUACGGUCGCAAGACUGAAACUCAAAGGAAUUGACGGGGGCCCGCACAAGCGGUGGAGUAUGUGGUUUAAUUCGACGCAACGCGAAGAACCUUACCAAGGCUUGACAUCCCGUGACCUGAUGGAAACAUGGUCUUGCAAGUUUACUUGCACACGGAGACAGGUGGUGCAUGGUUGUCGUCAGCUCGUGUCGUGAGAUGUUGGGUUAAGUCCCGCAACGAGCGCAACCCCUACAGCUAGUUGCCAGCAUUCAGUACUCUAUCGGGACUGCCGUUGACAAAACGGAGGAAGGUGGGGAUGACGUCAAAUCAUCAUGCCCCUUAUGACCUGGGCUACACACGUACUACAAUGGCUGUUCACANNNNNNNNNAAGUGCGCGAGCAGGAGCAAAUCCUAAAAAUGCGUCCCAGUUCAGAUUGCAGGCUGCAACUCGCCUGCAUGAAGUUGGAAUUGCUAGUAAUCGCGGAUCAGCAUGCCGCGGUGAAUACGUUCCCGGGCCUUGUACCCACCG